UAAACGGUGGAUCACUCGGCUCGUGGAUCGAUGAAGGACGCAGCAAACUGCGCGUCGAAUUGUGAACUGCAGGACACAUGAACAUCGACGCUUCGAACGCACAUUGCAGCCCACGGAUUCUGUUCCCGGGUUACGCCUGGCUGAGGGCC
rnacentral:rRNA from 1 species